UACAGAGGGUGCGAGCGUUGUCCGGAAUCACUGGGCGUAAAGGGCGCGUAGGUGGCGCUGCAAGUCGGUGGUGAAAGCUCGUCGCUUAACGACGAGUCGGCCAUCGAAACUGCAGGGCUGGAGCACUGUAGGGGCAGAUGGAAUUCCGGGUGUAGCGGUGGAAUGCGUAGAGAUCCGGAAGAACACCAGUGGCGAAGGCGGUCUGCUGGGCAGUUGCUGACACUGAGGCACGAAAGCGUGGGGAGCAAACAGG
rnacentral:rRNA from 1 species